CCGGCCAUGCGGCUUUGCGGCGGGGGGGCUGCUUCCAGGCCGAAGGUUCCACGGCGCUGUUGCAACGUUCCAGGCCGCGGUGCGAACGUUCCACGGCGGAGGACUGAGCGUUCGAUCUGGGCAGCGUGUGUGGGGCUGGGUGGCUGCGCUCGGCGCUUCCUCCCCUUCCCGGCAUUCCACUGCAGCAGCCAAGAUUGGAAAUGCUGAACGCUUUGCAUUUUCUUGCACGUUGUAAUAGAUAUUACUUCCAUCAGGAGAAAUAAACUGUCUUAGCAUGAAGGGAACCCAUACCAGGAGAAAAUACUGAGAAUUUUAAAUGGAUAUCUCAUUUAUGAGGGCGCUUUAAUUUUUCAGCCUUCCCUUGCAAACUUUAAAUUACAUUCCCAGCUAUGACAUCUGGUUUCUCAUCAGUGCGUGUGCCAUCAUUUUGCAAAAGUUGGUACCGUCUAACAUGAUGAAUCAUCAUAGUUAUUGAUCUUUGGAAGAUGGACAGCUCUGCAGUAUCUGCUUGGAAUACUUUUUUUUAGUGGGGAAAAGCACAUAGGAGAUAACUUAAUAGUGCACAACAAAAAUCUCCAUGGAGUCAAACUGCUUUAGUCUGUGAAACCAUGGGAUGGUAUAAGAAUGACUUGUCUUAACAAAGUUCUGACUGUUUUGCUGCCUCAGUUUACUUCUUGUUGUAUGACCUAAAGCCGAUCUCCUCACACCUUCAUGCGGAGGUGAGGAUUCAUAAUGCUGCCUUGUUGGGCCAUAUUCAGUAAUGGCCAUUCUCUAGAGUUUAGCACUUGUCGCGUUUUCAAUUUGCAGUACAAACAUUUUGUGAUUCAGAAGGCUGAUCCAGUUGGUUGUGAUGUAAGCAGAACAUAAGACGUCAUAUACUAAUUUCUGUGCAUAUCCUGUAUGUAGAGCUUUGUGAAUUACACUAUUUAUCCUAAACGCUAAAGCUAUAUGACUACAUACAGUACUUCUGGUGAGAACGGCUUGAAAGUAUACCCAAGAUCUGCAAUAAAUGUCUUUUGACUUGCCUUCAUUCUUCUGCAUUAAUAUUUCAGGUUUUAAAGGACGAAAGACAGCAUGUUUUGGUAUUGGUCCUGUUAUCAGGCUGGGAAAACUAUUUUUUCUUGGGGGGUGGGGAGAGAACAUGUGCUUCAAGAAAGGUGCAACCAGUGUUAAGCACUUGAAUUGCCACGCUACUGGGUUUUUCUGGAGGGGGGGAGGGAAAGAGAAACUCCACAACUUAUUCUUGUGGGGAAAAUUAGUUGUUGAAAGGAAAUAAUGUUGUAACAACCUGAAUUCUGUUCCACUCAGAAUCAGAGUAUUCCUUAAGGUGUUAAAUGGUGAAAUUGACUAGUGUGGCAUUUUCUGGAGCUUGGCAGCCUUGCCUAUAGUUCACACAAUACAGGCCUUGUCAGUAUUAUUCCGCUCUUUUGCUCUUGGGGCAUUGUUUCUUUUGCUGCCUAUUAACUAACUGUAAAAUAUUAUUAUUUUUGUAAAAUAAACACCUUUUUUCUCCUAA